CACGCCCAAGGACUAUCGCUCCCCAGCGAACUCGCUGCACUCAGGGACCAGUCCCCAGGACGCUGUGCAGGCGGUCAAGGACAGCGAGUCAGAGAGGAUGGGGCCCUGCAGCUGAGCACCCGUCCAGCACCCACCAGUCUGCACGCAGGAGGCAGCGCGGGGAAGCAGAAAAGGCGAACCACAAGCAAACCUCUAAGGAGCCCUCCGAAACCUCUGCCAUCCCUCGGCCACUUCUCUUGCCAGGACCUUUUGACUCGCGCGAUUGGGGGAGGGGAGCAAGUAAGUAUCCCUUCUCGUCCCUGCCCUGCCAGUC